ensembl:lncRNA
CUGAUGAAAAACUGUGUUGCAUAAUUAUAUUUCUGAUCAUCUCUAUAUGAAGAAACACCCACUAUUGUCAAGUUGCAUAAAAAUAGCUUUUGUCAUGAACAUGUGAAUAUGAUUCCUGAGUCACACCUUGUUACACCUUAUAAAAGUAGCUUAGCUUUUGGGUAAAUCAUCUUCCAGAGAGACGGAGCCUGUUGUCAUUAAGGAUAUUGCUGAGAGAGUUACAGGGAACAAAUUAUUGUUUGAGAUUAGAUGGUUAUGACUUUGAAGAAUAAAAUAAGUUUUCUUAUUAUUAGGGGCCAAGCACCGAAGGUAUGUAGUUGUAAUAGUUAGUGUUCUUCCCUACUUAUUAUUCUUCUGCUCUGGAAGUUUAUGGCAGCCAUAGAACCAUAUGGUAAAAAGUUGAAAAAUGGUGAAAUUUGGUACACUGAUCGAGGACAGUCUGAUCAUUAAAUACAGCCCUUCUGGUGUCUCUACCUCAAGCCCUCUAGUGCCACCAACUGUCCAAAUUUGUACUUGCAUUUAUUUUCAUAAUUUUUGAACCAUGAGUGCUAGAAAUAAAAUUCUUGCCUCUGAUUCAUUGGCUCAAGCUGAUUCAAUUGUAUCCUAUGACAUCAUUUUCUGUCAUGAAAAUUUUUCCACCAUUUAGAAUUUUUGAAGAACCUACUUUUUUAACUUUCGAUUUUCACCAAAAUUGGGGCAAUAACAUAUUAAAAGGUUUUUGAUAAACCCAACCAUUCUCGAAAAAUGGGCGAACGAAUUCUACAAAGAGGUUGCCAAAUUUGACAUGGGGCUAUAUCUUCGCAAUGCUUUAGCGUAUUGAGACAAAAUGUGGAACAUGUCAUUGCAAGCAUGGCUACAUGCAGAGUUUUGCCACAGUGCCAACUAGUGGUCAGAAGAUAUGAAAAAUUGACAUUUUUGCUUAUAACUUCUGAACCUAUAAAAUUACAAACCUGGUCUCUUUAGAUUCGGUACAGCAUGUUGAACAAUACCCGAUUUUCCCAUGUUGGCCAUUGUGGGUUGUCGGCCAUUUAGAAUUUUGUUGUAAAAUGCUAUAUUUUACGAACGCCUUGGCAUGUCAUUAAGAAAUUUGGUAUUUGUCUUUGGCACCAUGCCCUGAAGGUACUCAAUAUAGUAUCAGUGCAGCGCCACCUUCUGGUCAAAAAUUAUAAUGAAAUUUCAAAAAAUGAUAAUUGCUUUUGAGAAAUUUGGCCUUUUGUAAUUAGAACGAUCUUCUUACAUUCCUUGGGUCAUGCUGAGAACAUAGAUACAAAUUUUGCCUUAGUCAGCCAAUUUUCCUGUCCGCCAUUUUGAUUUUCUUUAAAAACCUACUUUUUCGAACUUCUCCCAGACUGUUUGUACAAUUUUCACAAAAUUCGAAAGAGAUCAUCUUCAUAUGAUGCUGGCAAAAAGUUAACAAAAGCUUUUUUGAUAGACCAAACUGUUCUUGAACAGCGUGCAAACGAAUCCCACAUUGAGCUCGCCAAAAUGGAUGUGAGGCUAUAUCUCCAUUGUGCAUUUGCAUAUUCAGACCAAAUUUAAUACCUGUCAUUUGCAUCAUAACUUGAGGGUACCUGCUGUGUUUUUGCAACCAUAUGGUCAAAAAUUAUAAUGCAUUUUUUUGAAAUGCUAAUAUCUUCUGAGUACUUUUGCCUAUUGUAAUGACACUAUAUUUGAUAUAUUCUGUGAGUCAUGCUGAGAACAAGGUUACUGUUAGAUUUCCAUGUAUCUCAGGAAUCUCAGAUUAUGUCUUUCAGUUCUUCUGUCUUGCAUUCCAGCCUUUUUAUUUAUUUAUUUAUUUAUUUUUUUAACUUCUAUUUCUAUUAACUUUUAGAAAGUGUGAUUUACUGUAGAGCGUUCAGGCCUGGGGGGUCUAAAAUGAACACACACAUUCAUGACACACAUGAAUGUUCACUGAGACUUCCCAGUUUACUCAUGCAAAACAGAAGUAUUUAUACACAUUGAUAACAACAGUGCAUGGACGGUUUCUACUGGUGCAGGGGCCAGACAGAUAGAUAAAACAAAACACACAGCACACUAUGAAAAUAAGUCUUUUCAAGAGACAGAAAAUAAAUGUGCCAGCUAUAAGAAAGGAUGGCAGUUGAUCAGCUUAUUUAAAGAGGUAAAUAAAUGUAUACAUUCAUCAUAGGUAUUUGAUAGCUCAGAGACACACAAACAGAAAUUAUAACCCAGUAUUCCCCAUAUCCAAGGUGUCUUAACAGUUCAUAAUAUGAGAGUACAUAAUAUAAGAGAAUUUCAGAUACCAAUUAUGUCAUGGUCAAAUGAACUUGCUGUCCGCCAUUUUUUAUUUCACUGAAAACAUUCUUUUUCAAACUCCUUCUAGAGCGUUGGCUUGAUUGUCACCAAAUUCAAUUCAGAUCAUCUUCAGACCAUUCUGGGAAUAAAUUAUGGAUUUUGUGUUCAUAUACUUAACUGUUUUCAUUUAACACAUCAACAACUUUGAAUUUUUUUUUUUUAUGACAAAACUGUUCAAAGGCUGUAUCUCUGCAAGGCUUUGGCAUAUUGACACCAAACUUUGUGUGUCACUGUGACCAGACAAUGACCACACCAUAUGAAUUUGGUCACAGUGCCACCUAUUGGUCAAAUAUGAUAAGCAAUUAAAUCAUAUGACAAUUGAUUGUAUUUAUGAAUGUUCAAUCAUUUUGCCUACAAUCAUAUACAAAUGUCUAAAAUUGCUCUUUUUUACAGUUGGUUUUAUUGCACCCUGUGAUGUUUGUUUAGCUCCUCAUUUAACCUUUUUACUGCUUGGCCCCUUAAUUGAUGCUUGCAGCUAUAUUUAUUAUUAUUCUGUUUCAUAUUUAUUAUUAUAUCUUCUACCGCUCUGGAAGUCUAUUCUUUAUUCAUUGUCUAUUCU